rnacentral:rRNA from 1 species
AUGUCACUGGAUUCUACACCUUCAUCUCCGGUGACUUCUUCGUCGCCACCCCCCGAUUCUACCUUGGCGAUUCCUCCUUCUCUUAUUCCAUCUUUGCCUCAGCAUUACACUCGUCGUUCACGACCUGUGGAUGCUUCCUUGGAUGAGUCGUCCUCUUCCUCUCAGCCUACUUAUGGCUUGCGUUCUCGUCCUUGUCCGCCUAUUGAUCGCUUUGGAUUUCCCACCGCUGGUGCUGCUGUUCUUGAGCCGACUUCUUACCGUCAAGCUGUUGUUCAUCCUGAAUGGCAGUUUGCGAUGGCAGAGGAGAUUGCUGCUCUUGAACGCACUGGUACCUGGGAUCUUGUUUCUCUUCCUCCCGGAGUCCGUCCCAUCACUUAUAAGUGGGUCUACAAGGUUAAGACUCGCUCCGAUGGUUCUCUUGAGCGUCACAAAGCUCGUCUCGUGGCUCGUGGUUUUCAGCAGGAGCAUGGUCGUGAUUAUGACGAGACUUUUGCUCCUGUGGCCCAUAUGACCACUAUUCGUACACUUCUUGUCGUUGCCUCUGCACGCCACUGGUCUAUAUCUCAGCUUGAUGUUAAGAAUGCCUUUCUUAAUGGUGAGCUGCGUGAGGAGGUGUACAUGCAGCCACCACCUGGGUAUUCUGUUCCUGAUGGCAUGGUGUGUCGUCUUCGUCGCUCUCUCUAUGGCCUUAAGCAAGCCCCUCGCGCCUGGUUUGAGCGUUUUGCCUCUGUGGUCACUACUGCUGGUUUUUCAGCAAGUGCUCAUGAUCCAGCAUUGUUUAUUCACCUUUCUCCUCGUGGCCGGACUCUUCUUCUUCUCUAUGUUGAUGAUAUGGUCAUCACUGGGGAUGACCCUGAGUAUAUUGCCUUUGUAAAGGCCCGUCUUAGUGAGCAGUUUCUUAUGUCUGAUCUUGGACCUCUUCGCUACUUUCUUGGGAUUGAAGUCUCUUCUACCUCUGAUGGCUUUUUUAUAUCCCAGGAAAAGUAUAUCCAGGAUCUUCUUGCUCGUGCUGCUCUUACUGACGAGCGCAUUGUUGAGACUCCUAUGGAGCUCAAUGUUCACCUCCGUGCUACUGAUGGUGAUCCUCUCCCUGACCCGACGCGUUAUCGUCAUCUUGUUGGCAGUCUUGUCUAUCUCGCUGUCACUCGUCCGGACAUCUCUUAUCCGGUUCAUAUUCUGAGUCAGUUUGUCUCUGCUCCCACAUCGGUUCACUAUAGUCAUCUUCUUCGUGUUCUCCGAUAUCUUCGGGGCACGAUCUCUCACCAUCUAUUCUUUCCUAGCUCCAGUUCUUUACAGCUUCAGGCCUAUGCGGAUGCUACGUGGGCUAGUGAUCCUUCUGAUCGCCGUUCACUUUCUGCUUACUGUGUUUUUCUUGGCGGUUCUCUCAUUGCCUGGAAGACGAAGAAACAGAUUGCAGUUUCCCGUUCGAGUGCUGAGGCUGAGUUGCGAGCCAUGGCUCUUUUGACGGCAGAGGUGACUUGGUUACAGUGGUUACUUCAGGAUUUUGGUGUUUCUGUCACUACACCGACUCUGCUCUUAUCUGACAGUACAGGUGCUAUUAGCAUUGCGCGCGAUCCUGUGAAGCAUGAGCUCACCAAGCAUAUUGGUGUUGAUGCUUUCUAUGUGCGCACUGCUGUGCAGGAUCAGGUUAUUGCUCUUCAGUAUGUGCCUUCCGAGUUACAGUUGGCGGAUUUCCUGACGAAGGCCCAGACUAGAGCACAACAUGGCUUUUAUCUCUCCAAACUCAGUGUUGUUCCUCCACCAUGA